CUGAGAAUGUCCAACCUCAAGAUGAAUUUCUUCCCUCUCUCCACUUCACAGGCCAGGCUCAUAGCUACCCCUGGGUAGGAACUAUCUGCAGGGAGGGGUAAAGACUCCAGCUGCUUGGAGUUCUAUGACCCUUCCCAAAGGCAGAUCUACCCAUUUUUCAGUGGAGAAGAUGAGGCCAAAGGGAAGUUACCGGAUACCUUGCUUCCACCCCACUCUCCCAUGCCCUCCUGUGUAGCUGAGCUCAUGGCAUCAGAAUCUCAGGACCCUUCAACACUUUCCAGCUGGGCAAGAUGGGAGGGGCAAGGCUGUGCAAUGGCUCAGAGAUAGCCCAGCAAAUGCUCUGUAAUGAGACUUGGAGUUUCAACCUCACUGUCUGGAGCAGAAGAGAAAUGGGAAAUAUGACAUAUGGAGGUGCCACUGAAACAAAACACCCCAAAAUCUUGAGUCAACACAGUGGGGCUAGCACUCUGGAGUCCCCACUGGAACUGCAGUGGGUUUGUCUGAAUGACAAAUACACUUGUGUGCAAGACCCUCCAGGCUCUGUUUUCCUUCUGGUGUGGAGACUGGUGAAUGACAGCUAAUUCAAUGUGACUGGAAGAUAAAAUAAGCGAGGAAGACCUCUGGGAGUUAAGGUGGGGAGAGCAGAUGGGACGUAAAUUACAACAUUUAUAGACAUUCAGAAGGCUAAAGAUGGCAAAAACAUUGUAUCUUAAAAGGCAACUGUGUUGGAUUGGUGGUGACUGCUUGAAGCACUGUGUUGAGAAAGAUUCUGAGGCUACAUCUAGGAAAAAGUGCUGUGAUCCAUGGGUGCUAUCUUCCACGGGCCUGGGAGUUGGGAGCGACAGCCUGCACGUCCUGCAUUUUCCACUUUUGCUUUGCUUUGAGAGGUGCAGAGUCAUGGGAAGAAUUUAAGCAGGAAAAUGAUGGGGCCUGGACUACUGAUUAGAGAGAUCAUUCAUUCCUUGACCAACAUAAAGGAACUAAGUGGAAGAGACAUGAUUGGAACCCAGGUCAGUCCGAUAACAAAGCCUUCGUUCUUAAAACUCCCCUGCCUUCUGAGAGAAGUUUUUUCCUUGGCCAGGGAAAGUGUAUUUCAGUGUGGAAGCUCCCAGUUUGGCUUGUCAAUGAUCUUUCUUGCUGCUUCUUCCUUUCUCUUCUUAUCAGCUGCUCCUCCCUGGUGCACCUCCUCCUUUUGUUAUAUCCCUAGGCCAUCUGCUCAAGCAGGGAUUCCCAGCCAGAGAGCUGUGGCUCACUCGUGUGCCACGGACCCUUCUCAGCUGUGAGAGGUCAAACCUCAAUCAAUGGGUAAAGCUUAUUUACUUGUUUAUUUUUGUGCAACUAAGAGGGAGAUGUCUGCAGGAAGAACACUGAGCUGGAUGUGGGCUACUAUAGCAGAAUAUCAAGGCAUGAGGCAAGCAGGCUCUGCUCAUCACAGUCACUGAGGCUCAGGCUGAGAGAACAGUCACUGUCUUGACCCUCACCAGUCUCCACACCAGAAGGAAAACAGCCUGGAGGGUCUCGCACCUGCAGUUAAAUGCUGGGUCUGCAAGUGAGAACUGCUCUGCUCACAACUCAUGGGCCAGAACUAGUCGCAUGGCCCCACCAGCUAGAGGGGACUAGAAGGUAUGAGUUCACCUUGUACCUGGAAUGUGGGGAGCCAGAGGAUCUGGUGAGCAGCUCUGUCAGGCACCACCAUAUACCUUGUGCCCGGCAGAGUAGGGGAGGAGCAAAUUUUUGAUGAAGAUGGUGUCAGCCUAAGCAUCCUUCCACAACAGCUCUUGCUAAGGCCCAAGUGACCUGCAUGUUACUCCACCUGGUAGACACUUUUCGGUCCUCAUUUUCCUUAACCUUGCUUGUCACACUGCACUAUCCUUCUUAAAACGUGUUUCUUGGCUCAAGCACACGUCGUUUAACUGACUUCCUUCCUAUCUCUUGCAUUACUGCUUCCCUGGCUCCUUUGCAACUUUUCCCUUCUUCUACUGGUCUUGCAUUUUGGAGAUUCUCAGGGUGUGGACCUCUUUCCUCAGCAGAUAUCAUCCACUGCCUUGCCUUGAACAAUCCCCUUCAUCUAGAUGACUUGACUUGCUUUGGAUCUCCAUGUUCAUGUGUUCUGCUGUCUACUUGAAAUCUUCUCAAGAAUAUGUCAACACUAGCUCCAAUUUAUUAUGCUUAAAACCAAAGUCAUGACCUCUUCCCCUCCACCCCUGGUCCCUUCCAGGGUUCUGCAUCUCAUUGAAUAGCAACACCAUCCACCUGGUCAUAGGAUCCAGAAACCCAAGAGUCACGCUUGAUCCUUUCUUCUGUCUGCUACAUCCUUCCAUUUUAAGUCCCUUAACAACCCCUAUUAAUUUAGUCUCCAAUCCAUCCACCCUUCUCCAGCUCCAUCACCAUCUCCAUCAGUGGUCCACGUGGCCACUGUGUCCCACCUGAUUGCUGUGAGGGACCCCAUGCCCUCCCUCCCUGUUCAGUUACACCCAUUUGUUCUUUAUGCUGCAGCCAAGGAAAUAAUGCAAACUUGAUCAUGCACCCUUCCUUCCCACGAUGCUUUAAAGGCUGACAGGCCAGGCAUGGUGGCUUACUCCCAUAAUCCCAGCACUUUGGGAGGCCAAGGUGGGUGAAUCACCUGAGGUCAGGAGUUCAAGACCAACCUGGCCAA